rnacentral:misc_RNA from 1 species
CAAUAGCCCUGAUCGCAGCAAUUGUUUGAGCUCAUUUUUUUAGUUUCGGCGGCGCGGCUUCGCCGCGCCGCCGAAACUAAAAAAAUAGCGAGUGCGGAGAGCAGGAAAAAGC